GCUGCGGUAGCUCAGUCGGUAGAGCGCAUCCAUGGUAAGGAUGAGGUCGGCGGAUCGUAACCGCCUCGCAGCUCCA
rnacentral:tRNA from 1 species